rnacentral:rRNA from 2 species
CCUGGCUCAGGCUGAACGCUGGCGGCGUGCCUAAUACAUGCAAGUCGAGCGAAUGGAUUAAGAGCUUGCUCUAAUGAAGUUAGCGGCGGACGGGUGAGUAACACGUGGGUUACCUGCCCAUAAGACUGGGAUAACUCCGGGAAACCGGGGCUAAUACCGGAUAACAUUUUGAACCGCAUGGAUCGAAAUUGAAAGGCGGCUUCGGCUGUCACUUAUGGAUGGACCCGCGUCGCAUUAGCUAGUUGGUGAGGUAACGGCUCACCAAGGCAACGAUGCGUAGCCGACCUGAGAGGGAUGAUCGGCCACACUGGGACUGAGACA